rnacentral:rRNA from 1 species
UACGUAGGGGGCUAGCGUUGUCCGGAUUUAUUGGGCGUAAAGAGCGUGUAGGCGGCCAGGUAGGUCCGCUGUGAAAACUCGAGGCUCAACCUCGAGACGUCGGUGGAAACCAUCUGGCUAGAGUCCGGAAGAGGAGAGUGGAAUUCCCGGUGUAGCGGUGAAAUGCGCAGAUAUCGGGAAGAACACCCGUGGCGAAAGCGGCUCUCUGGGACGGUACUGACGCUGAGACGCGAAAGCGUGGGGAGCGAACAGG